AAGUUUCUUCCAAUCCUGUGGAAUAGACACAGAGGAAAUAGACAAGGCAAAGGCUCUAUAGGAAGGAGACAAGGCAAAGGCUCUAUAGGAAGGAGACAAGGCAAAGGCUCUAUAGGAAAGAGACAAGGAUUCAUAAGAAACAAAGUUAGAAAUAGGGUAUUUAGUACAAGAUCUUACCAUUUUUCCUUGUGCAAUAGGUUUAUCUAAGUCAUUGGAACAUUCGAGAGUUGUGGGUAACUCACUAGAAGAAAGAGUUGUGGGUAACUUACCUGAAGAAGAUUCUUGACUGGGUAACUUAUCAGAAGAAGAUUCUUGACUCUGAGUAGACUGCAUAAUGGCUUCUUCUGCCUUGUCUCUCCUCGAAUACCUUUUCAAAUCUGGCUUGUCCAAACGACCAAUUCUCUCUCUCUGAUUGGACAUCUUCCCCUGUCUACUAGAACUCAAACUCUCUAGUUGAACCAUAUCAUCCAGAAUCACAGAAUUCGGGAUCACCUCUUCUUGCUCAUUAUUCUCACCCUGAAGAGGUGAGUGGAUGGUACUGAAGUAGGGUUCAGUUUCUCGGAAGGUAACAUCCAUACUGACUAAGUAUUUCCUAAAAGGAGGGUGAUAACACUUGUAUCCCUUCUGUGUCGGAGAAUACCCAACAAACACACAUUUAAGGGGCUUGGAAUCCAAUUUUCCUGUCGUCCUAGUAUGAACAAAGCAAACACACCCAAAUACUUUUGGUGGAACAACGUACGAAUUCUUCCCUUGUAGAACCUCUAAAGAACUUAUAAAGUUAAGGGUCUUGAGAGGCAUUCUAUUGAUAAGAUAAGCAGAUACAAGGAUUGCAUCUCCCCAAUAUACUUUGGGUAGAUUCAUGGUGAACAUAAGAGAUCAAGCUACCUCCAAUAGAUGCCUAUUUUUCCUCUCAGCAACACCAUUUUGAGCACUAGUAUAAGGACAACUAGUCUAGUGUACUAUCCCAUUAUUCUCCAAAUAAGCAGAAAAGCUACUAUCUAUGUAUUUUCUUCCAUUGUCAGUUCUCAAAAUUUUAACUUUAGUAUCAAAUUGAGUACAAACCAUCUUAUGAAAGGAUUGAAAACAAGAAAAGACAUCACUUUUAGCUUUAAUCAAAUAGAUCCAAGUCAUUCGAG
rnacentral:lncRNA from 1 species